GAUGAACGCUGGCGGCGUGCCUAAUACAUGCAAGUCGAGCGAACAGACGAGGAGCUUGCUCCUCUGACGUUAGCGGCGGACGGGUGAGUACACGUGGAUAACCUACCUAUAAGACUGGGAUAACUUCGGGAAACCGGAGCUAAUACCGGAUAAUAUAUUGAACCGCAUGGUUCAAUAGUGAAAGACGGUUUUGCUGUCACUUAUAGAUGGAUCCGCGCCGCAUUAGCUAGUUGGUAAGGUAACGGCUUACCAAGGCGACGAUGCGUAGCCGACCUGAGAGGGUGAUCGGCCACACUGGAACUGAGACACGGUCCAGACUCCUACGGGAGGCAGCAGUAGGGAAUCUUCCGCAAUGGGCGAAAGCUUGACGGAGCAACGCCGCGUGAGUGAUGAAGGUCUUCGGAUCGUAAAACUCUGUUAUUAGGGAAGAACAAAUGUGUAAGUAACUAUGCACGUCUUGACGGUACCUAAUCAGAAAGCCACGGCUAACUACGUG
rnacentral:rRNA from 1 species